CUCGGAGACUGAUGCACCAUCACACAAAAACUCACAUUUCUCCCAAUUUGCUUCCUGUCCCAUUAUUAAUCCAAAUCCAAACUCAGAAAGACAGGAAGGCUGACUGACGUUCAAAUAAACUAAUCACCCUCUGAGUUCCCACUUGAGCGACGGGCACUACAGCCAAUGACAGCAGGGGUUAGUAUUAAAUUUGAGCUGCGAUAGGCUGGAGGAAAUCGGCCCAUGAUCAGCCCCUCCUCUUCCGCUCCAUCGCCAUGGCGGAGAUCAGCGAGUCGCUUCUGUCGGUGUCGCCGGCCUCGGCGCCCACAAGGACGGGUGUGAUUCCCCUUCGCGCCUCGGUGGGUCUGUUUCGGUGACGUCUGUGGUGGCUGACGAAACAUGCUUUGACAGGGAGCGAACGAGGACCAAUGACUACAACUCCCGGAAGGCCCCACUGAUGACGUUGUGUUGUUGUUUCGGGCUUUCCCACCACAGAUGUAAGGCUCAAUGGUCUAUAAUUAUCUGGACUAUCCCUACUACCCUUUUUGAACAAGGGGACAACAUUCGCCUCCCUCCAAUACUCCGGUACAAUUCCCGUGGACAAUGGGGACAUAAUGAUCUUCGCCAGAGGCUCAGCAAUCUAUUUCCUUGCCUCGGAUGCAGAACUGGGAAGCGCAGAUGGAGUUCAACACAGAUGAAGAGGUUCAUUUCUGCAGGUCAAAUUUGAACACAGAAUAUAAUAUUAAUGCAAUGUUUAACACAUCAUUAUAAUUUUCCACAAUAUACUGAUGAAUCAAGAUUGUCAAGCAUAACAGAAUCCUGAGACCUCAUUAAAUUGUGUAUGCUAAAAUCAACUAAAGGGAUUGAGAAAAACAAUGUGGGUUACCAAGAACGCUUCAGUGGGACAUAUUGCAUAAUCCAGCGAACCCAUAUUCACAGCAUGAUGAGAACCCAGUCCGUGGACAACAAGCUGUGUGAACUGAUAAGUGAAAUCUCUCACCAGCGGGAAACAAAAGAACGUAAUGUUUUGUGCUUUGCGGAGACCUGGUUGACGGAGGAGACACCGGACCACGCCAUCGAACCCUUUGGGUUCUCCCUGUUCCCUGUGGACAGGUGGAAACCACUCACUGGGAAGAGUAAAGGAGGUGGGGUAUGCUUCAUGGUCAACAACAAUGCUUGGUGCAACACCCAGAAUAUGCAUGUGCUCCAAUCCUUUGUUGCCCAGAUGUGGAGCAGCUGUUUAGACCCUGCUGGCUGCCCAGGGAGUUCAUGGUGUUAUCAUCACAGCAGUGUACAUUCUGCCCCAGGCUGAUACUGACCUGGCUCUCAAGGAACUGUACGAAACCCUCAACACGCUGAAGACUGCCCACCCAGAGGCUGCCUUCAUUGUCGCCCUGACUUUAAUCCAGCAUCGCUGACUGAAGCCCCUCCGAAAUGUUGUCAGCACAUCCAGGUGAGCGCUCGGGGAGCUGGCACACUCGACCUUUCCAUAACGCUUACAAAGUGCUCCUCCGACCACACUUCAACAAUCAGAUCACUCUCUGAUCCGGCUUCUGCCGAUGUACAGGCAAAAACUGAAACAAGAAGCGGCCAUAGAUGAUCCAUCCACUGUUGGUCCGACCAAUCGGUCUUCAUGCUGCAGGACCGCUUGGAUGACAUCAAUUGGAUUGUCUUCCAUGAUGAGGAUGUGACCAAGUUCACGAUGGGGUCACGUGCUUCAUCUGAAAGUGCAUCGAGAAUGUUGUUCUCCAGAAAUCGGUCAAUGUCGUUUCUUUAUCGUUACCUAUAAUGUGGGCACAAUAACAGCCACACUAACAACCCCAGUUAAAUUAUAUUUUGAUCCUUCUGUAUUAACACAUCACAAUAAAUUUCCUUAAUGUACCAAUGAACUAACAGAUUUCAAGGCGUAACAAGUCCCGAGACUUUAUUAAACCGUGUAUCCCAAAAUCAUUAAAGGCAUUUACAAAAACAAGUUGGGGUUGCCGGGAAUGCCACAGUGGGACAUAUUGCAUAAUUCAACGAACCCACAUUCCCAGCGUAAUAAGAACCCAAGCACCCUAAACUAUAACACUCUUCUUGUGAUGUUCCCAACAGUCCUCCGACACACCCCUAACAGGAUGAUCAUUUCUUUGCUCCUUCAAAUUAAACCAGUACAUUAACAUUAAAUUCAACCUCCGAAAAAUCAAUCAGUAAACCUGAAACAGCAGACAACUUUACUGCACCAUAACAGAAUCUUGUCUCACAGCCAAACAUUUGAAAGUUGGAGAUGAAGCUGAUCCAUCAGCCACAGAAUCAAGACAAGAUCUAAUGAAACAAAUGUAAAUGGUCAGCAGAGAUUUUCAUGUCGCACCCGAAGAAUAUCCACAGAGACACCGAGAAUAUUUAUUGCUCCUUUACAUUUAUCAAUUAUUUUACUGAUACGGUGCUUCCCUGUCAGCUCAUUGUGCAUCCACCUGUCUGGAAA